rnacentral:tRNA from 1 species
GGAGGUAGAGCUCAGUGGCAGAGCGCAUGCUUAGCACGCAUGAGGUCCUGGGUUCAACCCCCAGUGCGUCCA